rnacentral:tRNA from 2 species
UCCUCGAUAGUCUAGUGGUGAGGAUAUCGGCUUGUCAUUAAACGAUUCGCCGGGGACCGGGGUUCAAUUCCCCGUCGAGGAG